rnacentral:rRNA from 1 species
GACGAACGCUGGCGGCGUGCUUAACACAUGCAAGUCGAACGGAAAGGCCCUGCUUUUGUGGGGUGCUCGAGUGGCGAACGGGUGAGUAACACGCGAGUAACCUGCCCUUGACUUUGGGAUAACUUCAGGAAACUGGGGCUAAUACCGGAUAGGAGCUCCUGCUGCAUGGUGGGGGUUGGAAAGUUUCGGCGGUUGGGGAUGGACUCGCGGCUUAUCAGCUUGUUGGUGGGGUAGUGGCUUACCAAGGCUUUGACGGGUAGCCGGCCUGAGAGGGUGACCGGCCACAUUGGGACUGAGAUACGGACCAGACUCCUACGGGAGGCAGCAGUGGGGAAUAUUGCACAAUGGGCGGAAGCCUGAUGCAGCAACGCCGCGUGCGGGAUGACGGCCUUCGGGUUGUAAACCGCUUUCGCCUGUGACGAAGCGUGAGUGACGGUAAUGGGUAAAGAAGCACCGGCUAACUACGUG